rnacentral:rRNA from 1 species
CAGACUCAUCCCCAAUCGGGUGAGACGGCUAGCGUUUUCUCACCCUCCCUCUUCUCUCUCUCCCUCGCAUCUCUCGCGCAGCCGUCGCUCUCGCUCCCCUCCUUCUCUCCGGCCCGAGCCGCCGCUGCUCCUCUGCGCCUCCCUGCUACUCCUGGCCAUCCCUUGUGCUAGCCCCUCACGACCAUGAAGGGCGGCGGAGCCAUUAGUAGCGGCGGCGGUCGGGCUCUUGGGGGUGAGGCUACGCCUUGGGCGAUGCCGACGAGCUCCAAUGGCUUGAGGCCACCAACGCUCUUUGGUGGAUCGAUCCAGCGCCAGGAACCGCCCAGGCCUCGCUGCAUCUCUGGCGGCUCAUCUUCGUCUCCUCCCUCGCUCCAACGCGCGGUUCCGCUUCCCGCUGGCCACGGGGUGCAGCCUUGCAGGGCGCAUCGGGCUGGGCCUCCUCUGUUUGCG